rnacentral:lncRNA from 1 species
CCAGUGGUGGCUCAACUUCAUUGACAUUCUUUUGUUGCUUCUGAUGAGUGAAUUAAUAUUCCUAAGAGCUGUCUUCAGGGGCAAAAGGGUAUCCAAAUUUGGAAAAGAUCUAAUUGAUUUUAUAUUUACAUUACAACUAAGAGGCAACUAUAAACUGCUUCAUAAUAUUUAAAUCAUUGGUUUUGUUUUGUAAAUAAAAUGUAUUAGUGGUUUUUAUUUUGGUUAACGGCUCUCUUUUAAGCUUGAACUUCAAGCUAAAAUUUGGAAUUUUUUUUUUUAACAUUUAAAAGAUUAAGUGGAAAAAGCUGAAACUGAGAUUUGAAAACUAGAAAUAUUUGACUAAUAGUUUUACAUUAUAUUAUUAAUAAUAAGGUAAUAUUAGAUAGAUAUUUUUGAAUUUUAAGUUAAACAUUUUUCUAUUUGCUUUAUUAUUUGAUAGAUACGUUUUCAGAAAGAAAAAACAAAUUAGAUCAAGAUAACCACUUUAAGGCAUUUUGUAGUUUUAUAAAUUGAAAGCCUAUUUCCAUUUGCUUUCACCAUACAGUAUCUUAAAAAGUUAGUUAAAAGGACAGUAAUUUUAUCAUUAUUAUACUUCAUUAAAAUAUAUUAUGAAGUUUACAUCAUUUGCUCCUUACUGUCGAUUUUUAAAGGGUAUUCCAUUCUUCUAAUUUAGGAAUUUAGCAACAAAUGAAUGAAAUAAUCUAAUUAUUCAACUUAUAGUUAAUGGUUUCACUAUCCAGACUGUAUAAUGGACCUACUAUCAAUGGCGGAUUGCAGUUCAAAAAAUCCACUAUCAAAGGGCCUAUAAUUACCUCAUUGGGAUAAUCUCUUCCUAUGAAUCACUUUUCAAAAGAUUCUUUUAUUCUUGCCCCAAGGAUAAGUUAGAAUCAGGAAGUGAAUUGAAAGUUUCAAUAACAUUAGCCAAGAGGACGAGCCAAUUCAUUUUCAGAUCUAUGCACUAGAAGUGUAUUCAAGAUUUACUAAUUCUCAAAAAAAAAAAAAA